CAGCAGCCGCGGGAAUACAGAGGGUGCGAGCGUUAAUCGGAUUUACUGGGCGUAAAGCGUGCGUAGGCGGCUUUUUAAGUCGGAUGUGAAAUCCCUGAGCUUAACUUAGGAAUUGCAUUCGAUACUGGGAAGCUAGAGUAUGGGAGAGGAUGGUAGAAUUCCAGGUGUAGCGGUGAAAUGCGUAGAGAUCUGGAGGAAUACCGAUGGCGAAGGCAGCCAUCUGGCCUAAUACUGACGCUGAGGUACGAAAGCAUGGGGAGCAAACAGGAUUAGAUACCCGCGUAGUCCCUGUCUCUUAUAU
rnacentral:rRNA from 1 species